AACGUGCAUUAGUGCAGAUCUUGGUGGUAGUAGCAACUAUUCAAAUGAGAACUUUGAAGACUGAAGCGGAGAAAGGUUCCAUGUGAACAGCAAUUGGACAUGGGUUAGUCGAUCCUAAGAGACAGGGAUGUUCCGCACACGCAGGCUUUGCCUCGUCUCUCGAAAGGGAAUGGGGUUAAUAUUCCCCAACCAGGACGUGGAUACUGUAUGGCAACGUAAGAGAAUUCGGUGACGCAGGGGGGAGCCUUGGGAAGCGUUGUCUUUUCUU
rnacentral:rRNA from 1 species